CUGCUAUCGGGAUAGGACUAAGACAUGCUAGUCGAGUGGCUCACCCAAUACGAGCCACGGCAUACAGCUCAGUAACACGUGGCUAAUCUGCCCUUAGGACGAGAACAACCCCGGGAAACUGGGGCUAACUCUCGAUAGGUGAAGAACACUGGAAUGUGUCUUCACCUAAAAAGUCCAGCGUUAUGCUCGUUGGAUCGCCCAAGGAUGAGGCCGCGACCGAUCAGGUUGUUGGUGAGGUAAUGGCUCACCAAGCCUUUUACCGGUGCGGGCCGUGGGAGCGGGAGCCCGGAGAUGGGCACUGAGACAAGGGCCCAGGCCCUACGGGGCGCAGCAGUCGCGAAAACUUUGCAAUAAGCGAAAGCUUGACAGGGCUAUCCCGAGUGCCAUCCGCUGAGGAAGGCUUUUACCCAGUCUAGAACGCUGGGGGAAUAAGGAGAGGGCAAGUCUGGUGUCAGCCGCCGCGGUAAUACCAGCUCUCCGAGUGGUGUGGAUGUUUAUUGGGCCUAAAGCAUCCGUAGCUGGCUAAGUUAGUCCCUUGUUAAAUCCACCGAAUUAAUCGUUGGAUUGCGGGGGAUACUGCUUGGCUAGGGGACGAGAGAGGCAGACGGUAUUUUCGGGGUAGGGGUGAAAUCCUAUAAUCCCGGGAAGACCACCAGUGGCGAAGGCUGUCUGCUAGAACGCGCCCGACGGUGAGGGAUGAAAGCUGGGGGAGCGAACCGGAUUAGAUACCCGGGUAGUCCCAGCUGUAAACGAUGCAGGCUAGGUGUUUGGACGGCCACGUGCCGUUCUAGUGCCGCAGGGAAGCUGUUAAGCCUGCCGCCUGGGGAGUACGAUCGCAAGAUU
rnacentral:rRNA from 1 species